CUACGGGAGGCUGCAGUGAGGAAUAUUGCACAAUGGGGGGAACCCUGAUGCAGCAACGCCGCGUGGAGGAUGACACAUUUCGGUGUGUAAACUCCUUUUAUAUGUCAAGAAAAUGACGGUAGCAUAUGAAUAAGCACCGGCUAACUCCGUGCCAGCAGCCGCGGUAAUACGGAGGGUGCAAGCGUUACUCGGAAUCACUGGGCGUAAAGGACGCGUAGGCGGGUUGGAAAGUCAGGUGUGAAAUCCUACAGCUUAACUGUAGAACUGCACUUGAAACUUCUAAUCUAGAGUAUGGGAGGGGGAGAUGGAAUUUGUGGUGUAGGGGUAAAAUCCGUAGAUAUCACUAGGAAUACCUAAAGCGAAGGCGAUCUCCUGGAACAUUACUGACGCUAAGGCGUGAAAGCGUGGGGAGCAAACAGGAUUAGAUACCCGCGUAGUC
rnacentral:rRNA from 1 species